rnacentral:rRNA from 1 species
UACGUAGGGCGCAAGCGUUGUCCGGAAUUAUUGGGCGUAAAGAGCUCGUAGGUGGCUUGUCGCGUCUGCCGUGAAAGCCCGCGGCUUAACUGCGGGUCUGCGGUGGAUACGGGCAGGCUAGAGGCUGGUAGGGGCAAGCGGAAUUCCUGGUGUAGCGGUGAAAUGCGCAGAUAUCAGGAGGAACACCGGUGGCGAAGGCGGCUUGCUGGGCCAGUUCUGACGCUGAGGAGCGAAAGCGUGGGGAGCGAACAGG